rnacentral:RNase_P_RNA from 1 species
UGCGGCUCUUGUUUGGUCGCUCUGCUUUGCAGAGAGGAAAGUCCGGGCUCCAUAGGGCAAGGAGCUGCCGAAAGGCAGGUAGGAGUAAUCCUACGGAUAGGGCCACAGAAAACAGACUUCCUGUUUGAGCAGGUGGUUAGUAGGCUGAAAAAGCCGAAUAGCCUGUGAAAACAGGUAAAGGUGAAACGGUAGGGUAAGAGCCUACCAGCUGUCAGCGUGAGCUGGCAGGCUAGGUAACCCCCUCCUGGAGCAAUCCCAAAUAGAGAGGCGCUUGAAGGUUGCCCGCCUGAAGCCUCUGGGUAGGGAGCUUAGAUAAAUGACCAUUAAAACAGAACCCGGCUUACAAAGAGCCGCAGGCU